AUUGAACGCUGGCGGCAUGCCUUACACAUGCAAGUCGAACGGCAGCACGGGUGCUUGCACCUGGUGGCGAGUGGCGAACGGGUGAGUAAUACAUCGGAACAUGUCCUGUAGCGGGGGAUAGCCCGGCGAAAGCCGGAUUAAUACCGCAUACGAUCUACGGAUGAAAGCGGGGGACCUUCGGGCCUCGCGCUAUAGGGUUGGCCGAUGGCUGAUUAGCUAGUUGGUGGGGUAAAGGCCUACCAAGGCGACGAUCAGUAGCUGGUCUGAGAGGACGACCAGCCACACUGGGACUGAGACACGGCCCAGACUCCUACGGGAGGCAGCAGGGGGGAAUUUUGGACAAUGGGCGAAAGCCUGAUCCAGCAAUGCCGCGUGUGUGAAGAAGGCCUUCGGGUUGUAAAGCACUUUUGUCCGGAAAGAAAUCCUUGGCCCUAAUACGGUCGGGGGAUGACGGUACCGGAAGAAUAAGCACCGGCUAACUACGU
rnacentral:rRNA from 1 species